GACGAACCGAGCGAACGUUGUUCGGAAUCACUGGGCUUAAAGGGCGCGUAGGCGGGUGCUCAAGUCCGUGGUGAAAUCCUCCGGCUCAACCGGAGAACUGCCUCGGAUACUGGGCGUCUCGAGUGUGGUAGGGGUAUGCGGAACUAUCGGUGGAGCGGUGAAAUGCGUUGAUAUCGAUAGGAACUCCGGUGGCGAAGGCGGCAUACUGGACCACCACUGACGCUGAUGCGCGAAAGCCAGAGGAGCAAACGGG
rnacentral:rRNA from 1 species